rnacentral:tRNA from 1 species
UCCGGGCAGGGUCCCGGGGCGGGGCGGCGCCUCCCGAAGGCGCCUCCGCUCCGAUCCCGGUUACGGGUCCGGGCUCGGAAC